rnacentral:rRNA from 1 species
UACGAAGGGGGCUAGCGUUGUUCGGAAUUACUGGGCGUAAAGCGUGCGCAGGCGGCUGCUCAAGUCAGGGGUGAAAGCCCAGAGCUCAACUCUGGAAUUGCCUUUGAGACCGAGUGGCUUGAGUACGGGAGAGGUGAGUGGAAUUCCCAGUGUAGAGGUGAAAUUCGUAGAUAUUGGGAAGAACACCGGUGGCGAAGGCGGCUCACUGGCCCGUAACUGACGCUCAUGCACGACAGCGUGGGGAUCAAACAGG